GCAUUAACAAUAUUGUAUAAGAUAGCUAGUUCUGAAAAGAAUGCUAGGACAUGGAAAUGACAGAGAACAAAUACUGGGUUGGCUGGUCAAAUCUUCUUAAUUAUCUAAAAAAUCAAAUCACUAAACCACGAAAAAAAAUAAUACUUACAUGUCAAGGACAUGCAUUAACCAGAUAACUUUUGCAAAACACAUCUAAGUCAACUGCCUUGUGUUAAUACGACAAGUUGUCACUAAUCUUGUGAUGCUCUCUAUGAUAGAUACAAUAUUGAAUGAACAUCCCAUAUUUUCAAAUAAAAACAUAAUGUGCAGUGUAUACGCCAUGAAAGUUAGUUCAUCUCCAUUUGGUUUGCUUAAGCACCAAACUCAACAUUUUCAAUCAAAAAGUAAAAAUCACAAUAAUCAGAAAGUUAAAACAAGACUACAGAAAAUAGAACCACAACAACAAAAAAAAAUACUAGAGUUAAAAUUGUUUGAUUGAUUUCUAAUAAAUUGAAUUAAAAGUUCAAGUUUGUGAAAGAUAAAGAAAGAUAAGCAUACCAAAUUGAGAAAGUAUUUGCCCAACCAAACAUCAUUGUAGCAGGUAAUGAAGCCAAAAUUGAUCGAUUCAAAUGCAAGGAUUCAAAUGCAAGAGAGCAGUCCCUGACACCUUUUGUUUUGAUUUUUUUGCAAUCUAAAACAGCCAACAGCUUUGAACAACUGUUAUAAGCUGUUAAAAUUUAAAAAAUAAAAAAUUAAAACAACUAGUUUCAAACCAGAUCGAGCAAAAUCACUCGGUCCACGUGCCAGAACCAAUCAGAUGAGUAAAUACUAAUCAGUACAUAUUGGUCUGAUAAGUUAUUUGGACCUCGAGACUAAAAAUGAUCAUACAAAACUGCUAAGAGGAAAAAUGCUAACUUGAUCUACUAUUUUAGCUUAAACUGAACUAUGUCUUGAUACAUUUAUAUACUCCACCAAAACUCAGUCUGCUAAAGUAACUACACUUGCAGCAUGAUGAUCACUAACAGACUUAAUAAGAAUGAAAACAUGCCAAAUUAAAUUUCAUUCUCAAUAAAAUUGUAGCACAACCUAUCUCAGAGUUGAUGCAGCUGUCCAAGGAGAAAUCAAGCAUAUCGACUAUGAUAGUUCUUUUUUACUUCAGUGUUUUGCAACUAAGAUGUUAAAUCUGAUCAUUAUGCUGGCAUGGACCACUGAUUGGAUACAUUAGUGCUGUAAUCAGUGAUUGAAACUAGGGAAUAUUAAAAUGAUAUUUUUAAGUAGAUAUUCAUGAUCUUCUAUUAUAUAAAGAACUUAGUGACCACUUUUAUGAUAAAAAACGGGGGACAACAAGCAAUACCAUCCAAUAAACAAUUUUUUUCUAUUAGUUGAUCUUCCAUAGCUGCAUGUACUUGACCAUUUUUAUCUAUAGAAGAAACAGAAGAAAAAUAUAAUUAUCAUAAUGGCUUAAUGGACAUUCUGAGAUGCAUUUGUCACUUGGUUUUGAACCGGUUAUGGCUUAGAUGUUAAUGAAAGACAAAGAGUACCUUAUAAAACACAAACAUUUAACCUCAAUUAGAUUUCAAACAUGGCACAGAAAGUAAAUUAUGAUGCCACAGACCUUGCAUGUUGAGAGCAUAGAAGAGGUUUCUUUCAUUGAAACUGGCCCUAGAUCCACAGGCACCCAACCUGAAUAUUAAAGAUAAUCAGUAAAAUGUCUCACUGUUUAGGUUAGAAAUGCCUACACUAUGAAGAUCCAGUUACAUAUGUUUCACAAUCUUUUAAUGCAUUAGAUCAUCAAGGGAUCAUUUGGAAAGAUGUAAGUGGAGCUAUAACCAGUAAUGAUAGCCAGGUUAGGUUCAGCUACCAGUUAUCCUAGACCCACAGACGUGGUAUAGGCAACAAGUAGGAAAUUGGACUUGGACCCUCUCCUUUCAACAAUAAGGGGACCAGGACCAAGUUGAGUACAAAAGGCCAAGUCCAAAAUGGAUCUUGAUAUGUUCAAGUGAUGAGAGAAAAGUGAUAGAACACAUAUAAUUUGUGACACGAUUAAUUAGGAUUCUAAUCAAAGCUUGUACCAAGUCCAUGUUAUAAAAUUUAACAAAUUCA
rnacentral:lncRNA from 1 species